GUUGGCCUUAGACGUAUAUCUGAGUGAAGAUGAUGUGGCUCUUGUAUGUGAAAAGCACUCCACCUCUUGUGAGAGCAUCCUGAAAUCUGAAUAAAAACUCAAUGUAAUCACUUGGGAUGUAACCAUACUUUUUGGUGAUGUUUGUGCAGCAGUCUGUCUUCAGGAAUGUAAGAAUGGUGGGGAGUGUAUUGGACCGAGUACCUGUCAUUGUCCUCCACAGUGGGAAGGAUUGCAGUGUCAAACACCUGUGUGCAACCAGAAGUGUCUGUUUGGAGGCAAAUGUGUAUUGCCCAACGUGUGCUCUUGUCGUCCAGGUUAUACUGGAGUCCUCUGUGGGAAGAAAAUUCAGGUACAAAGACAUCCUGGUUGAAGAAGUGUGGCAAUUCAAUUGCAAUACUGCAUGGAUGUAUGAGACUUGAAAAUACCAAAAGGGUUGAAGGCAAUUUCAGAGUCAUUUAAAUGAAAGGAAUAUUCAGAAGCCUUAUUUUAAAUGAGUCAUAUAAUCACAAAUGUUGGUGAGCUUCAAAACAACAAUCUUAUAGUCAGUAAAACAUAUGUAUAUUCCUGUAAUUUUUUGCUACCUCAUGUACAAACCCCACAGCCUCUGAUGUCUUCACUGAAUUCCCAGAUCAGAUGACUGAGCCCAAAAUCCUGUAGUUUAUUCAACUGGACUAUGGAAUUUCUGUUGAGGGAACAAGACUGUAGCAGCUGUUGGGUGACUCUAGCAAGGAAGGCAGCGCUUCUGCACUUGUGGAUGGUACCUCCUGUUUACAAACACUGUUUACAUAGAUAUUAUUUGGCUACGGACAGAAGAAAAAGCAGAACUGGUUUUCCUUGUUUUGUAUUUCCAUCGGCCUUGUUGUAACAACAAGCCAGUAGCAAGGAAGGAGGGGAAACCAGAACUGAGGCUGCGCCACUAACAAUGAAGGCAAGGCCUCCUGCCCUGUUAACAGCCAGCCAGAUGCAGAAUGACUCUGAUUUAUCUAUGACAAGCCUUUGCAGACAGAAGCCAGAUCCCAACUUUUCUGUUUUGACUUCAUUACUUACAGUCAUGAAUUUGAAGAGCCAGCUACUGAAUUAUUCCUGUGUCUGUAAGAUUUUUAUGCCCCUGUCUGAGAUGGCAGUCUGUAAUAUGAGGAAAUUUUGUUCCCAAGACUCUUAGAGAAUUUAACAAUGCUUUCAGCAAUGCUGAUUCUUAAAAUAGGAACCAAUAAGAGGAGAAAUUUGUUGUACAUCAUGCCAUCCAUACUCACCAUGUCAGAAAGUAUUUGUAAACACUUCACAGAGGAUUUUUUUCCAUUACCAAUUGCUCCAAUGAGCUGUUAGCACCUACCAGCUGCCAGAUAGUUUUUUAAAAAAUAAAAUUCCUACAGAGGACUGUUAUCUUCUCCUAGAGCUGAGAAAAACAUUUCAGCUCCUGCCAUAACAAACAUUAUAGACACAAACAUCCCUUUAGCUGAGACAUUGAAGUUUACUGCUUUGACUUUUUAAGCCAAAAAUAAACAUCAUGACUUCCAGUUCUCCUGAGCAAUAUUCAGUUUAUAUGCACUAAUUUUGAACAGGAAGAAAAUAGAGGUAAUUUUGCCAUUUACUGCCAUUCUGGGAUGCUGAUUACCGAAUCAUAGCUGUUAGCAGCUCUGUGCCUAGGUUUCUCCUUACCUUUUGAUAGUUUCUUAAGUCAUCUUGCAAAGUAAGCUGGCAUUUUGAGAGCUUAGCAUCAUUCCACAAUGAUACCUCAUGGAUUUCCAAGUGCCUGACUGGUGUAUUUAAAAAAGGUCCAAUUUCCCACUUGCGUUUUAAAUUUCAGUGUUUCCUUAGUUUCUUUCAAUCAAGCAUUGAUGUGGCUGAUAGCCUGAUGAUCUGGGAACCAAUACAUUGUUUAAAACCUACUCCUCUUGGACAUUUCCUUUCCCACAUCUCGCAAAGAUGUUGAUGAACAAAAUCUGACUAGCUCUUGGAACUGUUUUGGAUACACAAGGUACUGAAGAAGUUUUUAGAGUACAAACACACCAAUAUCACAUAAUGUCUUACUGUAAUCACUGUUGUUCCGUGUGUCAGUUACAGAGGUCCCAUGCAAAAAAGAAAGAUAACAUCUGUCUGGAGCACUGCUAAUAGUACUUUGGUUAAUGAGUUUGUGCAAUCCUUCACUCACAAAACUUAAUCAAUACAUAUAUGUGCAUUUCUAGUAUUUCAGGCUCAAUAAAGGGGGUUUUUGUUAUAAUUGUUAGUGUUUGCUGUUUAUUUUCAAUGGUUUUAAAGGCAGAAAUUAUUUCUUUUACAUUUUCCAAAUGCAAGCUGUGCGAACAAAAGCACAUUGAGAGUUUUGCUACAGUAGCUAAAAAUGCUCAGUGGUAAGCUGUGCUAUUUUUGCUAUUUUCCAGCAAGCAUAUGAUGCAGAAAAAUUACUAGUACAUGCAGAAUGCCAGAUAGCUACUUCAAAACUGCCCAGUAAUUAUGUGAUUAGUUGAAACUGUUUUGUUACUACAUUGUCCAUCAUACACAUGAAACAGAAUUCACUGUAAUUAGAAAGCGCAUGGCAACAAUACAGUAAAAUUGCCCAGUGUAACAAGAUGUGGAUUUAUAUAGAGGACUUGUGCGCAGAGGUUAACAGAACUGCUGAAAUUGUAACCUUCAAAAGAGUUAGGGGAUGUGGGAGUGGGGAGAAGGGUUGGAGUUGACACAUUCCACUCUGGAGGAUUGAAGGGCACCUUGUAUCAAACUGAAGAUUUUGCAGUGAUUCUUACCACAUUAUGCACAACAACAGUACCUCUGUUGAAGUUUCUUGCAUGAUUUCUUUAGACACUAAAGAGUGCUGGAAAGUACCCAUGUACAUCAUCCGUUUAUUACCUGGUUGUACUACAGUUGCUCUGCAAGCCAGCAAAAAUUCUCCCAAGUGCACAUUGAUUUUUGCCCCCGAUCUUGAAAAGAUCUUUCAAAAUGCAGUACAGUGAAUGUUCUCUGAAGGAAGGGCUUGUAUCACAGAAGAUAGCACAGAUAGUCAUGUUGGCUGUGAUUUAAAAAUAAAACAAGUGGGCCCUAUGGGAAAGGCUCUUUGUUUUCACAAAAGUUAAUUAUAUAUUUUCAUAGCUGAGAACAGACAGAAGUUAACAUUUCCAUUUACCAAAAGCAACCUCAUGAAGAAAUAUCAGCACAAGCCCUAAAGUAAAUAGGUAUAAAAACUGAAACUACGUGACAAAUGGGCUACACCCACUCCAUUAUUUGUCCAAAUGGAAAAAUCCAAAGUUUAAAUUCUCAAAACAUAACAUUGGGGUACAUAUACAAACCCAAAUGUAGAGGUAAGAAAGUUAUGCUAAUAACUAAAGUUGUUUAUGCAAUUUCUGUCAUUUUAAGGUGUCAUGUACUGAUAUCAGGUCAUUUUACCAACUUCUGCCCACAGCUCAGUUUAGCUAGCAAAUGGUAUUUUACAGCUAAACCAAGUAAAUCCAUUCUUGCCAGAAGCACUUAGAGCAGAAGAGAAAACAUUAAUAAAAAUUUGCAUGUAAGUAAACAAAAAAGAAGAAACACCUCACCUUUCCAUGCACACCCUAGAAAGACAGAGUAUCAGAAGUGCAACCACUGCAAAUACCCCUAAAUUUUUACAGUUGUUUUAGUGAAAAAUAGAGUAUCUGUAUAAGGUGUUACAGUUAGCUCUAAUGAAUAAGGGAGCUAGCAUGUUCUGUGUUGCUUUUCUUGACCUUUGAGCUGCAUGAUUAUGUAUCUCCCCACAGGAAGACAUAGCUAUCUCCAAAAAUUACAUGCUCUAACUAGUAUGUCCAAUCCUCCAGCGAGCAGAAAACAAACAAAAGACAAGAAUUACUGGCAAUUCUUUUAGUCUUUUUAGUAUGUUUAACUGUGGAAAUAAUAAUCUGGGGACACAGACUGUCAUUAAUAAUACAUUCCAAGAUUGUUUGACUCUAACUAACUAGAAAAAUCACUUCUAAACUCACUUAAAGUUUAAUUGAAUGAUAAGAAGAAAUAUUUCUUAAAACAAAAAAAACCCCAAACCCAAAACCAUGAAGAACAUUGUAGCCAGUAGAUGGUGCUAUGUUCAAGUAGUAUUUGUGAAAUAUGCCAUUGCAUUCUGUGUGGCAUCAAAUUACUGCUUACUUCAAUCAUUUCUGAACAGGAAACUAAAUUAGCAUUUGUUUUGGCCUGUUCAGAAACACCAAUUACAGAUCUUUAAACGACUGCUUCUGGUCUCUUGCUCCUGACAAUGCCAAUAUCUCUUCCAGCUUCUAGUUACUAUUACUGUCACUUUUGUCUUUAUUAGUAGAAGUCAGUCUUUUUGGGAAUACUACUGAGAUAUUAUGCUUCUUUGGAUUUACAUAGUACCGAUUAUUUAGUCUAAAUUUUGGGUCUGGUGUAAGUAAUUUUUUUCCCAUUCAUUCCUCAGCAAAUGUUAUGUCACCUGAGGUAUAAUAUAUAUAAAUUAUAAUAUCAUAAUGCAUAUAAUUACAUAAUGUAUAUCAGCCUAACUCCUGAAUUUCUAAAUUAUGGUAUGAUGUAGUGGAUUUUGACACAGAAUUACAUCAUCAUCAUCAUUAUAAAACUACAGAACCGUUGAUGAAACCAUCUUGUUCCACACAUGAGAAUCACAUUUUC
rnacentral:lncRNA from 1 species